rnacentral:tRNA from 1 species
GGCGUCGUAGCCAAGAAGUUAAGGCGGCGGUCUGCAAAACCGCUAUACGUGGGUGCAAAUCCCACCGACGCCUCCA